UGAGCUGCAGUUUGCUGACCACUGGUCUAGGGCGAUUGCAGACGUCCUACAGGAUGGACAGACAUCCAGCAUGCUGAGAGUGAAGGGAGGCAUUUCUCUAUAAGGUCGUCAGCUGUAAUAUAAGGUAUUUAUGCAAUCCAAUAGCAAAGGCAUUAUGGCCUUGAAAUGUGGUUCAGUGUUCACUCACAUCAUUGUUUAAACUCUUUUCAAGCAGAGAAAAUGUUGUAUGUUCUGGAGGCUAUUUGUUAAUACAGCAAAUGGAGCAGGGGGAGUCUAUAUUCACAAAACAUAAUGAUUCCACUUCUGCCUUUUCCCAGUGGACUUAAUUGUGCAGCGCGGAAUCGGUCAAUCAGGAAUUACCAGUUGUGAGAACAUGUACAGAUGGAACUAGGCUGUUGUCCGCACUAAUUUUUGCUGGAAUGUACUAGCCCCUUCCUAUUCAACAUGUGGCUCCCAGGCCAGUAGCAUCAGCCCCUCAAGAACUUAUUAGCCACAUGGAGGCCCAGGCCCUACCUCACUUAGAGACUCAAAUCUAUAUGGUCGCCAGGCCCCCACGGACUCACGCACACAGGAGUUUGGAAAGCUUCUCUCUAGGCAGUGCAUUCAGAGUAACCUCAGAAGCUGCGGGGCAGUGAGGGUCCCCUGUCCAGGUGGCCUCUAGAUCUGUCCUUCGGUUCAUCAUUGUGCACCAAGCUUCCUUUCAGCCGCUUCAUCCCUGAUCUAUUAAAAUAUCUGUCCACAGAGGAAGUGCCACUGACAUUCCGAGAGCAAAAUAAAACUCUUGUAAGUAA